UGGAAUGGCCACCAAGAACAGCAGCAGCA
rnacentral:misc_RNA from 1 species